rnacentral:tRNA from 1 species
GGGGUUGUGGUUCAGAGGUAGAGCGCUCGCCUAGCAUGCGAGAGGCGCUGGGUUCGAUCCUCAGCACCA